GUAGGGAAUUUUCGGCAAUGGGGGAAACCCUGACCGAGCAACGCCGCGUGAGUGAUGAAAGUCUUCGGAUUGUAAAGCUCUGUUGUAAGGGAAGAACGGCUUGAGGGGAACUCAAGAGUGACGGUACCUUACCAGAAAGCCACGGCUAACUACGUGCCAGCAGCCGCGGUAAUACGUAGGUGGCAAGCGUUAUCCGGAAUUAUUGGGCGUAAAGGGUGCGUAGGCGGCCUUUUAAGUUUGUGGUGAAAGCGUGGGGCUCAACCCCAUACAGCCAUAGAUACUGGGAGGCUAGAGUACUGGAGAGGGUAGUGGAAUUCCAUGUGUAGCGGUAAAAUGCGUAGAUAUAUGGAGGAACACCGGUGGCGAAGGCGGCUACCUAGCCAGAGACUGACGCUGAGGCACGAAAGCGUGGGGAGCAAAUAGGAUUAGAAACCCUAGUAGUCC
rnacentral:rRNA from 1 species